AGAGUUUGAUCAUGGCUCAGGAUGAACGCUGGCGGCGUGCUUAACACAUGCAAGUCGAACGAAGCACAUUAGCGGAUCCCCUCGGGGUGAAACUGAUGUGACUGAGUGGCGGACGGGUGAGUAACGCGUGGGUAACCUGCCUUAUACAGGGGGAUAACAGUUGGAAACGACUGCUAAUACCGCAUAAGCGCACAGCUUCGCAUGGAGCCGUGUGAAAAGAUUUAUCGGUAUAAGAUGGACCCGCGUCUGAUUAGCUAGUUGGUGAGGUAAUGGCUCACCAAGGCGACGAUCAGUAGCCGGCUUGAGAGAGUGAACGGCCACAUUGGGACUGAGACACGGCCCAAACUCCUACGGGAGGCAGCAGUGGGGAAUAUUGCACAAUGGGGGAAACCCUGAUGCAGCGACGCCGCGUGAGUGAAGAAGUAUUUCGGUAUGUAAAGCUCUAUCAGCAGGGACGAUAAUGACGGUACCUGACUAAGAAGCCCCGGCUAACUACGUGCCAGCAGCCGCGGUAAUACGUAGGGGGCAAGCGUUAUCCGGAUUUACUGGGUGUAAAGGGAGCGUAGACGGUUAGGUAAGUCAGAUGUGAAAGCCCAGGGCUCAACCCUGGGACUGCAUUUGAAACUAUGUAACUGGAGUGCAGGAGAGGUAAGUGGAAUUCCUAGUGUAGCGGUGAAAUGCGUAGAUAUUAGGAGGAACACCAGUGGCGAAGGCGGCUUACUGGACUGUAACUGACGUUGAGGCUCGAAAGCGUGGGGAGCAAACAGGAUUAGAUACCCUAGUAGUCC
rnacentral:rRNA from 1 species